GGGACAGGGUUCAGGGAGAGAGAAAGCACAGAACGGACAAGACAAGGGCACAAGAUGGCAUUGGAGAGCUAUAUAGAUCCUGAGGUCAGAAGGAAGAUGCAGCUUCCAGUUGUCAAAGAAUCCUUUUUUAAAAUCCCUCCAUGGUUUUCGAGAUGUCACAGCAGUGUUGGUCUCACCAUGAAAUGCUGCGGCCCUUGCCAUAGAACCUUACCGAGCUGUUAGAGCCCAACACAAGCUGAGGCCUUGAAGAUGAGAGACCAACUGCAAGAUGAAUGACCUCUGAGGACCAGCGCCAGGAA